rnacentral:rRNA from 1 species
AGGGCCGGGGGCUGGGACCUCUCGGGGUUACAGCCUUGCUGAAUUAUUCACCCUUGUCUUUUGCGUACUUCUUGUUUCCUUGGUGGGUUCGCCCACCACUAGGACAAACAUAAACCUUUUGUAAUUGCAAUCAGCGUCAGUAACAAAUUAAUAAUUACAACUUUCAACAACGGAUCUCUUGGUUCUGGCAUCGAUGAAGAACGCAGCGAAAUGCGAUAAGUAGUGUGAAUUGCAGAAUUCAGUGAAUCAUCGAAUCUUUGAACGCACAUUGCGCCCUUUGGUAUUCCAAAGGGCAUGCCUGUUCGAGCGUCAUUUGUACCCUCAAGCUUUGCUUGGUGUUGGGCGUCUUGUCUCUAGCUUUGCUGGAGACUCGCCUUAAAGUAAUUGGCAGCCGGCCUACUGGUUUCGGAGCGCAGCACAAGUCGCACUCUCUAUCAGCAAAGGUCUAGCAUCCAUUAAGCCUUUUUUUCAACUUUUGACCUCGGAUCAGGUAGGGAUACCCGCUGAACUUAAGCAUAUCAAUAAGCGGAGGGAAA